GACGAACGCUGGCGGCGUGCCUAAUACAUGCAAGUGAAGUUCAGUGGCGGACGGGUGAGUAACACGUGGGUAACCUGCCCUCCUUUUUGGGAUAAGCCUUGGAAACGGGGUCUAAUACCGAAUAAAGGGGGAUGGGCUCGCGGCCUAUCAGCUUGUUGGUGGGGUGAUGGCCUACCAAGGCGGUGACGGGUAGCCGGCCUGGUAGGGUGACCGGCACCAUUGGGACUGAGAGACGGCCCAGACUCCUACGGGAGGCAGCAGUGGGGGAUAUUGCACAAUGGGCGAAAGCCUGAUGCAGCGACGCCGCGUGGGGGAUGAAGGCUUUCGAGUCGUAAAGUUCUUUCGGUACCAUAAGAAAAAGCCCCGGCUAACUACGUGCCAGCAGCCGCGGUAAUAC
rnacentral:rRNA from 1 species